CACACACAGAACAACAAACAGACAUUAAACACAAAACACAAUCGUGGACAUUUUAAGAGCAGGAGGACUGCAUUUCCCAUAAAGCACCACUUCUAAUGCAUCGUUCCUGACGUCAGGCAACACUGACGAUGACGACGAAGAAGGAAGAUCUCUUCAGUUUGACUCUACAACAGCCAUGUUUAACAAUCCUUCAAGUUUAUCCAGUGGUGUCUCACUCUGCAUGAAGCUACUUAUAAUCUAAAAAUACUUCAACAGGGGGGAAACUAGAAGAAAACUACAAUCAACAGGGGGGGAGCUGUGUCCUUGUGUUUCCAGGAUGGGCGCGUGCAGGUGGGGGCCGCUGAUUGGAGGAAGUCCGGAGGCUGCGGAUUCAAAAGUGGAGCCGACAACACACUCUCUCUCUCUCGCUGGUUCGCCUUUGGCAACAUUGCAAACCGCAUCGCGACCUUCACCGACGCAAUCCAUACCGACCUUCUUGUGAUUCUUGUGAUUCAUUUAUGUUGCGGAUGAGAUCUGUUAUCUCUCCUGUAAAUAUUGUAAAUAGUAGAAAUAGUUCGCAGUACCAUAUUAGUAGGGGUGAGUAGCCUUUUACUUUUAUCCAUCUUUUCUCUUGUUUUGGUGUUAGGGAGUGAGGGUAGAAAACCUGUUGUUUUGUUGACUUCUUUUUCUUUUGGCUAGGCAAGUCAGUUUUCAAACCCAGCUCGUUUUGUUUAUUGUUUUAGGUGAUGCUCGCCCCGAAGACUUUAUGUUCGUUUGGGUAAAUAAAUCCCUUCGUUUUUGGACUGCA